CCUUGGUAACCAGCACCGGGACCUCCCUGAGGAGGAGGAGGUAACCCUUGAUAACUAUUGCCGCUAGGUCUUCCCUGAAGGGGAGGCGUUCCUUGAUAACCACCAGGAGUCACUUGAUAACCGCCAGUACCUCCUUGAGGAGGGGAGGUCCCUUGAUAACUACCACCAGAACCACCCAUUGGAGGAGGGGAAGACAUUCCUCUAAAACCACCACCACCACUAGGACCUCCCUGAAAUGGGGGAGGAGACAUGCCUUGAAAACUACCACCAGCAGAACUAGGCAUCCCUUGAUAACCUGCACCAGGACUUCCUACUUGAGCAGCACUACUUGGGUAACCACGACCUCCUACUUGAGGAGCACCACCAGGGUAACCACCAUUAGGACUUCCUGCU
rnacentral:lncRNA from 1 species